UUAAAUUGAAGAGUUUGAUCAUGGCUCAGAUUGAACGCUGGCGGCAGGCCUAACACAUGCAAGUCGAACGGUAACAGGAAGCAGCUUGCUGCUUUGCUGACGAGUGGCGGACGGGUGAGUAAUGUCUGGGAAACUGCCUGAUGGAGGGGGAUAACUACUGGAAACGGUGGCUAAUACCGCAUAAUGUCGCAAGACCAAAGAGGGGGACCUUCGGGCCUCUUGCCAUCAGAUGUGCCCAGAUGGGAUUAGCUUGUUGGUGAGGUAACGGCUCACCAAGGCGACGAUCCCUAGCUGGUCUGAGAGGAUGACCAGCCACACUGGAACUGAGACACGGUCCAGACUCCUACGGGAGGCAGCAGUGGGGAAUAUUGCACAAUGGGCGCAAGCCUGAUGCAGCCAUGCCGCGUGUAUGAAGAAGGCCUUCGGGUUGUAAAGUACUUUCAGCGGGGAGGAAGGUGUUGUGGUUAAUAACCGCAGCAAUUGACGUUACCCGCAGAAGAAGCACCGGCUAACUCCGUGCCAGCAGCCGCGGUAAUACGGAGGGUGCAAGCGUUAAUCGGAAUUACUGGGCGUAAAGCGCACGCAGGCGGUCUGUCAAGUCGGAUGUGAAAUCCCCGGGCUCAACCUGGGAACUGCAUUCGAAACUGGCAGGCUUGAGUCUUGUAGAGGGGGGUAGAAUUCCAGGUGUAGCGGUGAAAUGCGUAGAGAUCUGGAGGAAUACCGGUGGCGAAGGCGGCCCCCUGGACAAAGACUGACGCUCAGGUGCGAAAGCGUGGGGAGCAAACAGGAUUAGAUACCCUGGUAGUCCACGCCGUAAACGAUGUCUACUUGGAGGUUGUGCCCUUGAGGCGUGGCUUCCGGAGCUAACGCGUUAAGUAGACCGCCUGGGGAGUACGGCCGCAAGGUUAAAACUCAAAUGAAUUGACGGGGGCCCGCACAAGCGGUGGAGCAUGUGGUUUAAUUCGAUGCAACGCGAAGAACCUUACCUGGUCUUGACAUCCACGGAACUUUCCAGAGAUGGAUUGGUGCCUUCGGGAACCGUGAGACAGGUGCUGCAUGGCUGUCGUCAGCUCGUGUUGUGAAAUGUUGGGUUAAGUCCCGCAACGAGCGCAACCCUUAUCCUUUGUUGCCAGCGGUCCGGCCGGGAACUCAAAGGAGACUGCCAGUGAUAAACUGGAGGAAGGUGGGGAUGACGUCAAGUCAUCAUGGCCCUUACGACCAGGGCUACACACGUGCUACAAUGGCGCAUACAAAGAGAAGCGACCUCGCGAGAGCAAGCGGACCUCAUAAAGUGCGUCGUAGUCCGGAUUGGAGUCUGCAACUCGACUCCAUGAAGUCGGAAUCGCUAGUAAUCGUGGAUCAGAAUGCCACGGUGAAUACGUUCCCGGGCCUUGUACACACCGCCCGUCACACCAUGGGAGUGGGUUGCAAAAGAAGUAGGUAGCUUAACCUUCGGGAGGGCGCUUACCACUUUGUGAUUCAUGACUGGGGUGAAGUCGUAACAAGGUAACCGUAGGGGAACCUGCGGUUGGAUCACCUCCUUACCUUAAAGAA
rnacentral:rRNA from 1 species